GACGGUUUGGCCGAGUGGUCUAAGGCGCCAGAUUUAGGCUCUGGUCCGAUAGGGCGUGGGUUCAAAUCCCACAGCCGUCA
rnacentral:tRNA from 1 species